GGGCGCUUAGCUCAGCGGAAGAGCGCUUCCCUGACGCGGAAGAGGUCACAGGUUCGAUCCCUGUAGCGCCCA
rnacentral:tRNA from 1 species